UGGGGAAUAUUGCACAAUGGGCGGAAGCCUGAUGCAGCAACGCCGCGUGCGGGAUGACGGCCUUCGGGUUGUAAACCGCUUUCGCCUGUGACGAAGCGUGAGUGACGGUAAUGGGUAAAGAAGCACCGGCUAACUACGUGCCAGCAGCCGCGGUGAUACGUAGGGGGCGAGCGUUGUCCGGAUUUAUUGGGCGUAAAGGGCUCGUAGGUGGUUGAUCGCGUCGGAAGUGUAAUCUUGGGGCUUAACCCUGAGCGUGCUUUCGAUACGGGUUGACUUGAGGAAGGUAGGGGAGAAUGGAAUUCCUGGUGGAGCGGUGGAUUGCGCAGAUAUCAGGAGGAACACCAGUGGCGAAGGCGGUUCUCUGGGCCUUUCCUGACGCUGAGGAGCGAAAGCGUGGGGAGCGAACA
rnacentral:rRNA from 1 species